UGGUGCUUUGGGCCGCGGGGAGGGGGGAGGAGGCCAACGUGAAAGCCUGCGCGGCGGCAGGGUUUUGCAGAGCACGCCGGCGUGAAGGCCCCAACUUGCAGAGGAGGUGGUGUAGCCGGACAAAAGCCAAAGUGGCCGGAAUAUUCUUCUUCUCCUCCUCCUCGGCCGCUUCCUCUCUCUCUCUCUCUCUCUCUCUCUCUCUCUCUGAGGGGUGGCGAAGGUGACGGGUGAGGGCACC
rnacentral:lncRNA from 1 species